rnacentral:rRNA from 1 species
AGCAGCCGCGGUAAUUCCAGCUCCAAUAGCGUAUAUUAAAGUUGUUGCAGUUAAAAAGCUCGUAGUUGAACUUCGGGGUUUACCCAUUGGUCAGGCUUAAUUGUCUGUACUGGUGAGAUAAAUCUCUUCCUUCUGAGGAACUUUUAUGCCAUUAAUUUGGUGUAAUGGGAAAUCAGGACUGUUACUUUGAAAAAAUUAGAGUGUUUAAAGCAGGCUAACGUCUGAAUACAUUAGCAUGGAAUAAUGAAAUAGGACGGAUUGAUUCUAUUUCGUUGGUUUCUAGGGUCACCGUAAUGAUUAAUAGGGAUAGUUGGGGGCAUUAGUAUUCAAUUGUCAGAGGUGAAAUUCUUGGAUUUAUUGAAGACUAACUACUGCGAAAGCAUUUGCCAAGGAUGUUUUCAUUAAUCAAGAACGAAAGUUAGGGGAUCGAAGACGAUCAGAUACCGUCGUAGUCUUAACCAUAAACUAUGCCGACUAGGGAUCGGACGAAGUUAAUUUUAUAAUGACGCGUUCGGCACCUUACG